AAAUAAGAAGCGAAUCAUUGCAAUCAGUUUCGACCUGAAAUUGGCAAAUUAUUGCCCUUAUUUA
rnacentral:tRNA from 1 species